rnacentral:rRNA from 1 species
AGUGAACGCUGGCGGUAGGCCUAACACAUGCAAGUCGAACGGCAGCACAGUAAGAGCUUGCUCUUACGGGUGGCGAGUGGCGGACGGGUGAGGAAUACAUCGGAAUCUACUUUUUCGUGGGGGAUAACGUAGGGAAACUUACGCUAAUACCGCAUACGACCUACGGGUGAAAGCAGGGGAUCUUCGGACCUUGCGCGAUUGAAUGAGCCGAUGUCGGAUUAGCUAGUUGGCGGGGUAAAGGCCCACCAAGGCGACGAUCCGUAGCUGGUCUGAGAGGAUGAACAGCGACCUUGGAGGGAGAACAACGACCAGCCGCCAGCGGGAGGAAGCCAUGCGGAAUAGUGGACAAAGGUCGCAGGGCUGAAACAGCAAUUGCGGGAAAGAGAAGAAGACCGUCGGGAUGUAAAGCUCUUCUGUUGGAAACGAAAAGCAGAACAUUAGUAACCCGCGGUUCAGAGGGUGCGAAAAGAGUAAGCAGAGGAUAAGUAUGAG